GAUGAAGAACGUAGCUAAAUGCGAUAAGUAAUGUGAAUUGCAGAAUUCAGUGAAUCAUCGAAUCUUUGAACGCACCUUGCGCCCUUUGGCCAUUCCGAAGGGCAUGCCUGUUUGAGUAUCAUGAACACCUCAACUCUUCAUGGUUUUCCAUGAUGAGCUUGGACUUUGGGGGUCUUGCUGGCCUGUGGGUCGGCUCCUCUCAAAUGAAUCAGCUUGCCGGUUUUUGGUGGGCAUCACAGGUGUGAUAACUAUCUACGCUUGUGGUUUUCCACCAGGGUAACCUUCAGCAGUGGAGGUUCACUGGAGCUUACAAAUGUCUCUCCUCUGUGAGGACAGCCCUUUGAAUGUUUGAUCUCAAAUCAGGUAGGACUACCCGCUGAACUUAAGCAUAUCAAUAAGCGGAGGA
rnacentral:misc_RNA from 1 species